rnacentral:misc_RNA from 1 species
GAUGAAGAACGCAGCGAAAUGCGAUAAUUAAUGUGAAUUGCAGAAUUCCGUGAAUCAUCGAGUCUUUGAACGCACAUUGCGCCUCUUGGCAUUCCGUGAGGCAUGCCCAUCUCAGCGUUAGAAAAUAUUCUCAAAUUUUAGUUUUGUGCUAAAAUUUGGAUCAUGUCAAGGAAGCUAUUACUAUUAUUGUGAUCGCUCUUUGGAAAUUGAUAGGUCUUUGAGUUGCUACUCAUAGAACGUGAUGAAUCUUUCUUCGUUCUAUUGUAAUUCACUCUGGUAGUCCUAAAACUUGUAUGCCUGUGGCAUAUCUUGUAAUUUGACCUGAGAUUGGGUAGGGAUACCCGCUGAACUUAAGCAUAUCAAUAAGCGGAGGA